UAAUGUUUCAAGUUUUUUUUUUUUUUUUUUUUAAUUCUAUUUUAGUAGCAACUGGAUUUCGUUAGUUGGUUGCCUUGUUGGUAAAAGAAAAUAUUGAUACGAAUCAAAACUAGAUUAAAUGCUAAACAAACCAGAUUAAGCAAAAUCUGUUUUUUUUUUUUUGUUUUUUUUUGUUUCGAACGAAAUUCGAAGUCAGACAUGGUGAGAGAUUUCUGGUGUUCUUCAUCUAUCUAUGGAUAAGCUUUAUGCUACAAAGGGAUUAAAUUAAGUUUGGCGAAAGAAGACAUGUGUAAAUGUUAUGUCAGUGUAGAGGGGAAGUUUCUGCAGAAUCUUAGACGUUAUUUGAUGCUGCUCCUGUUCUAUCUUGUUCAUGGAGGCUGGUCUUGACACUGUCAUAUGAGAAAUUAGUAUUCUAAAAAUGUGUUUUAAUAACAACGAAACUGGUGAUGAAGUUGAAACUGAGAGGCAAGUGUUUGGAUUUCGAGUUGAAGAUACAACUGGAAAUGCCAACAAUUUUAUACAGAUUUCUCAACAACAACCACCACCGCUAGCUCCUGUUGUGAAGUGGGAGAGGUAUCUCCCAGUUAGAUCUCUUAAGGUUCUUCUAGUGGAGAAUGAUGACUCAACACGCCAUAUUGUUACUGCCCUUUUGAAGAAUUGCAGCUAUGAAGUCACUGCUGCUUCUGAUGUCCUUGAAGCCUGGAGAAUCCUAGAAGAUGAGAAGAGUUGCAUUGAUCUCGUCUUAACAGAGGUUGUCAUGCCUGUGCAAUCUGGAACUGGCCUGUUGUCCAAGAUUAUGAGCCAUAAGACGCUAAAGAACAUCCCUGUCAUAAUGAUGUCAUCUUAUGACUCUAUGGUUUUGGUCUUUAAGUGUUUGUCGAAUGGUGCUGUUGAUUUUCUCGUGAAACCCAUUAGAAAGAACGAACUAAAGAAUCUUUGGCAACAUGUCUGGAGAAGAUGUCACAGUUCUAGCGGAAGCGGAAGUGAGAGUGCAAUACAGAACAAGAAGCCAGUGAAAACUGAAAGCUCUGAAGGGUCAGAAAACGAUGCCAGCAUCGAUGAUGAAGAUCAGGGGAAUGAAAAUGGGAGUAAUGGUUUGAGUGACCAAGAUGGUGGGAGUGAUAACGGGAGUGGAACUCAGAGUUCUUGGACCAAUAGAGCCGGUAAGAGCACCUCGCCUUCAUAUCAAUUUCCCAAUGCUACCAAUAUGAACCUGAGAACCUAUGGCAACGGAUGGGAUAAUGCUAAUAAACUGAAGGAGAUUGGAGAUCAGAAUGAACAGAUAGUAGGCAUGGGAUCGCAGGAAGGAAUGUUUAUAGGUAACAAAGUUGAAGAACAAGGAAACCAUGAAAAGGAUGCAAACUAUUCUGUUCAAGCUUUGGAAAGAAACAAUGAUGACAUGCUAAAUCGCUCUUCUGGUAACUCAGAAGUAGAAAGUAAAACACCUUCAUCUAACCCGGAAGAUUUGCAAUCACUCGAGCUAACUCUGAAAAAACCAAGAGAGGCUGGAGAUUACAGAACCGGUGAUCAGAGUGUUUUGAGGCAUUCAAAUCACUCUGCAUUCUCAAAGUACAAUAACGGUGCUACUUCUGCUAGUAAGGCUCUACAAGAAAAUGGGGGAAGUUGUUCUCCUCAUGACAGUCCUAUUGCAAAACUGAUGGGUUCGGGUUCAAGCAGUGAUGAUCCUUUGAAUCAGCAGUCCAGUGGAAGCGAACGAUCGGCACAAAGAGAAGCUGCUCUGAUGAAGUUUUGCCUUAAACGCAAAGAGCGAUGCUUUGAGAAAAAAGGUUAGGUACCACAGCAGGAAGAAACUAGCUGAGCAACGGCCUCGAGUCAAAGGUCAAUUCAUUCGCAAGAGGGAUGAUACUAAAUCAGGAAAUGAGUGUCCAAGUAGUGACGACAGCUAAACAACGAAAUUGGUAUAAAAGAGAGAGAGAUAGAGAAAUACACUUCGAAGAUCUUAAGACUGAAGAACAAAAAAAAAGUUUCACAAAGUGGCGCAUUAGCAUAUUUUGUUUCUCAUUACUAUUGCAAUGAGACUUUCCUUUUGUAUUAAUUAAGAUCGUUUAAAUAUCGUAUUCCUGCAAACAUAACAAUGUUGCUAUAGUAUUUGUUUUCCAAAAACAAUCAUUUACUCAUUAA